UCUGACAUGGUGGGUGAAGCCUGGGAAGUUCUGCACACUCAUGGCAUCAUCUCCCGUGAGCAGCACCUGGAGAGGUCAUGCCUGGUCUCUGCUAUAAAGAUCCUGGAGAGAUUGGAAAGGAAGAGUAAGCUGUCCCAAGGAGGAGGGUCAAGGUUGAGUUCUAUUUUCAGGAUGAUCUAAGAAAUCCUGACCAUUCUUUCCAGAGAAGUCCUGUUUUGACUUUCCCCAGUUUCCACGGCUCUUACUUAAAGAGCGUCACUGAAACAGUGCUACGUUGAAGUCAUUGGGGGAAGGGGUACCCAUGCUGACAUGUAUGCCACAUUGUUCAACACCAUGACGGAUCAUCUGGUUUCCUUGGACUCCACUCAGACUGAAGAUACAACCAACUCUGGUGCGGCCCAUUGCACCUUGACCCCGGUCCCUAGCUGGGGGAAAAGUCCCCAACUGUGCGACUGUAAGGUUGAGCUUCAGGCUGAGCUGAUGGCAAGAUCACGUACCAGGCCACUCAGACAGGAUUCCGGAAGUCCAGUCAGUCUCCAAAUUCUGCCAGCAUAGGAGACAAGAGAGCUUCACAAGGCCUUUUCUGCUCAGAACAAACCGCCCUCUCUCCUGCAGACUAGGACCAUUGCUGCCUUCCCCCACAC